rnacentral:rRNA from 1 species
ACUAGUGAAAUCUAGUAUUCGAAGGAAGACUAGGGUAGUUAGCAAGAACAAAAGAAAAUUUGAAAUACAUCAAGGAGAGGCGAAGAAUUGAUGGUUUUCUCAGCAGGAAACUGCUAAAUAAAAAACCCUGCGAAUUGAAGCAUCUUAGUAGCAGGAGGAAGGUAAAUCAAACGAGACAAGGAAAGUAGCAGCGAGCGAAAUCCAGUAAGUCAAAAGUAGUCCCAAUUUUGGGAUGAAGAAAGGAGUUCCAACUUCUAAGACAAGAAUACUAAACUACACCUAUAGAGGUAGUACCGUAAGUGAAAGUUGAAAGAGAUAAGUAAAAAAGAGUGAAAGAGAGUUGGAAAUCGAAUACUUGCAAGCAUUUAGAGUCUUUUGAGAGAUAAUAUAGUACCUUUUGUAUAAUGGAAUUGCUAGUAAUAUAUGCAUGUGUGAGUUUAAGCACAUAGUGAAGACGUAGUGAAAGCGAGUUUGAAUAGAACGCUAAUAUGCAUAUAUUGGACCCGAAAUCGUGUGAUCUAUUUAUGAGCAGCCUGAAAAUGUAUUAAAAAGCAUUGGAGGGGCGAACUUUUGUUUGUUGCAAUAAACUAAGACGACUUGUGAAUAGUGGAGAAAUACUAAUCGAACACGAAUAUAGCUGGUUUUCUGCGAAAUAUUUUUAGGAAUAGCUUGAAUAUGUCUAUGUGGUAAAGCUCUUGUUUAGUAGUUGGUCUUGCUCAGCUCGAUACUCUACUAAGUUAAACUCUGAAUGCAUAGACAGAUCAUUCAAUUUACAGUCAGUCCCAAGGCGAUAAGGUUUUGGGACAAAAGGGAAAAAACCCAGAUCUAAAGUUAAGGUCGUUAAAUUUUGCUAAGUGUUAAAAGAUGUUAGAUAGCUAAGACAACCUAUAAGUAGGCUUGGAAACAGCCACCUUUUAAAGAAAACGUAACAGUUCAUUGGGUGAGCCAUUUAAUACUUAAAAUCUAGGCGGCUAAGCAAAAUACCGAAACUUAGAGUCUUUUUGACGGUAGCAGAAUGUUUCGUAAUCAGGAUUAUUUUUACAAAACCUGUUCAUCCUCUAUUUGCCGUAAGGCUUCUUACUUGAGAUGAUAAAUCGAAAGCAACAAUGCAAUUAUGAGUAACUUUAAUAAAUGUGCAAGACAUUUACGCCGUAAGCCCAAGGUUUUCAUAGCACUGAUAUACAACUAUGAUUUUUACAGUCCCUAAGAAGAAACCGAAAGUGUACUUUGAUGGGUUCAAUGGAUCUUUAAUCUUUUUCUGGAAAUACUUUAGAUCCCUUAUACAUUUUGUGUUCUUUUUUGUUCCUCUUUGUAUUUGUACUGUACUUAAACUAACACAAGUGGGCGGGUUGAGCAUACUAAGGCGAUGGUAUAAUAAUCUUUAAGGAACUCGGCAAAUUGAUCCCGUAAGUUCGCGAGAAGGGGGCCCUACUGGAAACAGAGGGCGCAGAGAAAAGGCUCUGGCGACUGUUUAUCAAAAACACAGCACUGUGCUAACUCGCAAGAGGACGUAUACAGUGUGACGCCUGCUCGGUGCCGGAAUGUUAAGGAAGCAGGUUAGCCUUCGGGCGAAGCUUGCGACUGAAGCACCGGUAAACAGCGGCCGUAACUAUGACGGUCCUAAGGUAGCGAAGUUCCUUGUCGGGUAAGUUCCGACCUGCAUGAAAGGCGUAACGAAUUCAGCACUGUCUCAACCACCGACCCGGUGAAAUUGUAGUCGUGGUGAAGAUGCCACGUACCCGCGGUUAGACGGAAAGACCCCGUGAACCUUUACUG